CCUAGUAACGGCGAGUGAAGCGGGAAGAGCUCAAAUUUGUAAUCUGGCACUUUCAGUGUCCGAGUUGUAAUCUCGAGAAGUAUUUUCCGCGCCGGACUGCAUACAAGUCUGUUGGAAUACAGCGUCAUAGUGGUGAGAACCCCGUAACUGAUGCAGAUGCCCGGUGCUUUGUGAUAUACUUUCGAAGAGUCGAGUUGUUUGGGAAUGCAGCUCAAAUUGGGUGGUAAAUUCCAUCUAAAGCUAAAUAUUGGAGCAAGACCGAUAGCGAACAAGUACCGUGAGGGAAAGAUGAAAAGCACUUUGGAAAGAGAGUUAACAGUACGUGAAAUUGUUGGAAGGGAAACGCUUGAAGUCAGACUUGCUAUUCGGAGUUCAGCCGCAAGGUGUAUUCUUCGAUUUGCAGGCCAGCAUCAGUUUUCGGGGGUGGAAAAUCGUGGUUUGAAGGUAGCAACUUCGGUUGUGUUAUAGCUUUCCACUGGAUUCAUCUUUGGGGACUGAGGAACGCAGUACGCUUUUUGCAAGGCCCUCGGGCUUUUCGUACUUACGAUGCUGGUGGAAUGGCUUUAAACGACCGUCU
rnacentral:rRNA from 1 species